AGAAGAAACGUGCAGAGAAUGGCAGGAAGGAGAAUGUGCAGAAAGUCAAGGUGGAACCAGCCAGCUUUAGGUACUUCCCUCAUCCACCAGCCGGUCCAAGAAAUCAUCGUAGGCUCUUCCCUCCCCUUGGCAGAGAAGCCGCUGGUCGCUCCCAACAACAGACUUCCAGGCGACCACAUGCAGUGCCAGGGGAUCUGCAGC